CAGCAGCCGGGGAAUACGUAGGGUGCGAGCGUUAAUCGGAAUUACUGGGCGUAAAGCGUGCGCAGGCAGCUUUGCAAGACAGAUGUGAAAUCCCCGGGCUCAACCUGGGAACUGCAUUUGUGACUGCAAGGCUAGAGUACGGUAGAGGGGGAUGGAAUUCCGCGUGUAGCAGUGAAAUGCGUAGAUAUGCGGAGGAACACCAAUGGCGAAGGCAAUCCCCUGGACCUGUACUGACGCUCAUGCACGAAAGCGUGGGGAGCAAACAGGAUUAGAUACCCCGGUAGUCCCUGUCUCUUAUACA
rnacentral:rRNA from 1 species